rnacentral:rRNA from 1 species
CAAUAGCGUAUAUUAAAGUUGUUGCAGUUAAAAAGCUCGUAGUUGGACCUUGGACCUGGACAGGCGGUCCGCCUAACGGCGUGUACUGUCUUGCUGGGUCUUUCCUCUUGGUGAUCUGUUGUUUCGGCAGCAGGGAACCAGGACUUUUACUUUGAAAAAAUUAGAGUGUUCAAAGCAGGCUCGACGCCGGAAUAUAUUAGCAUGGAAUAAUAAAAUAGGACGUGCGGUUCUAUUUUGUUGGUUUUUGGAAUCGCCGUAAUGAUUAAUAGGGACAGUCGGGGGCAUUAGUACUCACAUGCUAGAGGUGAAAUUCUUGGAUUUUGUGAAGACUAACUUCUGCGAAAGCAUUUGCCAAGGAUGUUUUCAUUAA